rnacentral:rRNA from 1 species
GUGAGGAAUAUUGGACAAUGGGCGAGAGCCUGAUCCAGCCAUGCCGCGUGCAGGAAGACUGCCCUAUGGGUUGUAAACUGCUUUUAUACAGGAAGAAUAAGCCUUACGUGUAAGGUGAUGACGGUACUGUAAGAAUAAGGACCGGCUAACUCCGUGCCAGCAGCCGCGGUAAUACGGAGGGUCCGAGCGUUAUCCGGAAUUAUUGGGUUUAAAGGGUCCGUAGGCGGAUGAUUAAGUCAGGGGUGAAAGUUUGCAGCUCAACUGUAAAAUUGCCUUUGAUACUGGUCAUCUUGAGUUGUAUUGAAGUAGGCGGAAUAUGUAGUGUAGCGGUGAAAUGCAUAGAUAUUACAUAGAACACCAAUUGCGAAGGCAGCUUACUAAGUACUAACUGACGCUGAUGGACGAAAGCGUGGGUAGCGAACAGGAUUAGAAACCCUAGUAGUCC